rnacentral:rRNA from 1 species
GAUGAACGCUGGCGGCGUGCCUAAUACAUGCAAGUCGAGCGGUAAGGUUCUCACAGUUUGCUGGCAUUCUUUUUUAAUAAGAUCGAGCAAAGUGUGAGAAUACACGAGCGGCGGACGGCUGAGUAACGCGUAGGAACGUACCCAAAGUGAGGGAUAAGCACCGGAAACGGUGUCUAAUACCGCAUAUGAUCUUCGGAUUAAAGACAUUUUGUCGUCGUUUGGGAGCGGCCUGCGUAUGAUUAGUCAGUUGGUGAGGUAAUGGCUCACCAAGACGACGAUCAUUAGCUGGUCUGAGAGGACGACCAGUCACACUGGAACUGAGACACGGUCCAGACACCUACGGGUGGCAGCAGUCGAAGU